rnacentral:tRNA from 1 species
AAGAAUUUAGUUAAAUAUAUAACAUUAAAUUGUCAAUUUAAAAUUAUUUUAAAAAUAUUUCUUA